rnacentral:rRNA from 1 species
GACGAACGCUGGCGGCGUGCCUAAUACAUGCAAGUAGAACGCACAGUUUAUACCGUAGCUUGCUACACCAUAGACUGUGAGUUGCGAACGGGUGAGUAACGCGUAGGUAACCUGCCUGGUAGCGGGGGAUAACUAUUGGAAACGAUAGCUAAUACCGCAUAAUAUUGAUUAUUGCAUGAUAAUUAAUUGAAAGGUGCAAUUGCACCACUACCAGAUGGACCUGCGUUGUAUUAGCUAGUAGGUGAGGUAAAGGCUCACCUAGGCGACGAUACAUAGCCGACCGGAGAGGGUGAUCGGCCACACUGGGACUGAGACACGGCCCAGACUCCUACGGGAGGCAGCAGUAGGGAAUCUUCGGCAAUGGACGAAAGUCUGACCGAGCAACGCCGCGUGAGUGAAGAAGGUUUUCGGAUCGUAAAGCUCUGUUGUAAGAGAAGAACGGGUGUGAGAGUGGAAAGUUCACACUGUGACGGUAUCUUACCAGAAAGGGACGGCUAACUACGUG